rnacentral:rRNA from 1 species
CUACGGAGGAUCCGAGCGUUAUCCGGAUUUAUUGGGUUUAAAGGGUGCGCAGGCGGGAGAUUAAGUCGGCGGUGAAAUUUUGCAGCUCAACUGUAAAAGUGCCUUCGAAACUGGUUUCCUUGAGUGUAGAUGAAGUAGGCGGAAUUUGUGGUGUAGCGGUGAAAUGCAUAGAUAUCACGAGGAACUCCGAUUGCGCAGGCAGCUUACUAAACUACUACUGACGCUCAGGCACGAAGGCGUGGGGAUCAAACAGGAUUAGAUACCCUGGUAGUCCACGCAGUAAACGAUGAUUACUAGCUGUUUGCGAUACAAUGUAAGCGGCUGAGCGAAAGCGUUAAGUAAUCCACCUGGGGAGUACGUUCGCAAGAAUGAAACUCAAAGGAAUUGACGGGG